CAAUUUUUAAAAAUGCACAAGUUAUAAAUACAGAAGAAAGAGCAACCCACCAAACCUAACAAGGACCCCCGAACACUUUCAUACUAAGACUGUAAGUAGAUCUCAGUUCUGCGUUUAUUGUAAGUUGAUAAAAACAUCUGGAAGAAAAUGACUAAAACUGUUUGCAUCUUUGUAUGUAUUUAUUACUUGAUGUAAUAAAGCUUAUUUUCAUUAACAAUUUGUAUUAAAAUGUGGGUUCCUUGAAUUCUUACGUGCUGUUUUAUUUUUUUGAGACAGGGUCUUGUUUUGCCACCCAGGCUGGAGUGCAGUAAUAUAAUCUUGGCUCACCGCAGCCUCAACCUCCUGGGCUCAAGCAAUCCUCCCAUCUCAGCCUCCCUAGUGGCUGGAACUACAGAAAGGGUACAUUCGCCAGCAGUUUUGCCACGAGAGUACACCGAACAAAGAGACAGGGUCAUUUGUAACCUGAUGCGUCCACCCUACUGCUGUGUCCGGUUUCCAUUGGCUGGAACGGGACCUCAUAUUCUGUAUUUGUCCUGAUUGGGAAGCAACUUAAAACUUUUUAAAAGAGGCGAAGGCAGAAGAGAACAAAGGAAGGAGAAAGUAACUUGUGGAAUGGUGAGAAAGGCAUGAGGCGAAUUCUCAGCCAUGACAAGGCUGAAGGCCAGCAGGAACAGGCUCUAGCGAAAUGGGUGCUGUGUCCCCUUCCUGCAUGUGGCAGAAAGUUGCAAAGGUAUGAGAGAGGAGACAAACGGAAACCAUUCUCCCUUAUCUCCAGCUCCAAAUUUCCCCUCCCACU
rnacentral:lncRNA from 1 species